CACUUGCUACUGUCUCUGAAGCUGGAGCCUGUCUCACCUUUCAGUGAACCUUGAAGGACACUGUUGUAUAGGAGGAGGCUCCGUGCUAAUAGGGAACCAUUGUAUUUGCUGAUAAUUCCCUGCCACCUGAUGAGAUGGGUACGUGGGGAAGCUCUGGGCACAUUCACUCCCUGCAGAGGGAUGGAUGCUUUGUGUGGGAACUGUAUACCCUGAGGAGCAACACCACCCUCGGAUACAUCAGGCCACGCGUGGAUACCAUAAGCCCGUGCAGUUUGGCAGCACCACUAGCCCGGGAGGCUGAAUUCAACCACAUGCCGAGGAGGGUGGCUGCGUCAUGCGUUAGAAGAGAGCCAAGGCAAGCUGCUUUUAUCCCUUCUCAUUUUAGAGGAGUAACUUUACACAUGGCAACCACUUCCAUAUAGCCCCUCAUUCUCCUGCCUCCUGGCCCAUCUGCAAAAGUAGCUGCGUUGAGCCUCCUCCAGGGGAAUGUGCAACCCAGAGGCUUGUCCACAACAGAAAGAUCCAACUGCUUGUCUCUUCUCAUCUGGGAGUUCAAGUGAACACCUCAUAUCUGCAUCGGUGUUAACUCACUACCAUCCCGAAGAGCCUUUUCCGGUGCCUUUGCUUCAGAGGGCUGGAUCUGCAACUCAGAGGACUUCUGUGACUUUCCAGAAGUCAGGUAAGGGAAUAACAGCUCAAUUUCCUGGCUGAAGGUUUCUGACUGGACCCCAUUCUCUUACAUUCGCCUGAUCCUGCCCUGCUCUGAGAUAACCAAGAACAGGAACACAAGCUCUUGGAGAAGAGAGAGGUCACAAACUCAGGCCGGAAGGAUCCAAGGAGCCAUGUGGUUUACCAGUGCCUGGGGCAAGAUUAGGCCCAAAUCCCGAGGAUCAGGCUGACUCCUGCCACUCUAGCAGACAUCUCUGACCGGAGGGAGGAAGGGAGAGAGAAGUGGCAGACAGCCUGUCUUGGGUAACUUGGUAAUUGUUUUGUUUCUUUAACCUAUCCUUGAUUCCAGCGCUGGGCCUAUCCUUCUGCCCUCCUUCCUCCUUCCCCUCUAGUUAAAAAGUCUGUGGUUUAACUGCUUCAAAAAAGUGGCAGCUACUCCCAGAUUUUAGGUUCUGAAAAUGUCAAGACCAGUUGGGAGUUGUUUUUUUGUUUUUUUAUUUUUUUUUUUCUCCUGAAGAGAAGGAUGGAGAAGAGCCCCAGAGAGGCAUAGCUUCAGGAAAUCCUGACCCUUAGGGAAGAAGUCUAGAGGACUUCCCAAGGACAGAGGCUUCUAACUUUUUACUACAGCUCCACUGAUCUUGAAGGACAUGAAUGUCAUCGGAAUGGAAUGUGUGGUCUGGUGAAAACAGCAGUGGCCUAACGACAGCCAGUGACUACCUUGGGGAGGAAGGAAGGAAGAGAAGUUGGCAGGCGGCUCCUGGGAGGGGCUGACAUGGGAUAGAGCUGGGGGCCCUGGUUCCAUGCGGGGAUGUCACUCAGCUUGAUUAAGGGAUGUUUCCCUGCUUUGAGGUCAGAACCAGAAGACGGUGUGCCUCCGUUCAGGCGAAGCUCAACACUGAGACCUCCCAUCCAUGCCACUCUGAGGCAUCUGGUUCCUGCGCAACGCUGGCUGCUGCUAUAGGCGCAUGCACAUUCCUAUCUGAGGACAGAAGGGGUCGUGAUGGGCCCACAGUUUAGUCCUAGAGCUUCAGCGUGGAGCCAGUCAGCAUGGAGGACCCAAAUGAAUAGCGUGUGGCAGCCUGGAGGACACAUCUGGUCUCAGGGCUCCUGGGCUCUGAGUGGAGCUGGCUGGGGAGAGGCGGCAGUAGGAAGGCAGCCCCUUCCAUUCACAGCAACCCCCUCACCCCGUCCUCUGCAAAUAGGCUAUGGAGAGUGGCCUUGGACCUCCACCCACACAUGAAAAUCACCCAAUGGGAGCAUUGCCUCUUCCCAAACUGGUUCCCUGAGAAGCUCUUCAUUUCUUCACCAGGGGCUCAGGGCCCUGUCAAAUUUUCUCACCACCACCUACCCUACUGCAGUGCAGCUGGGAAGUGAUCUUACCAGCACCUCCUCCCUGGCUCCCGCCUCGUCUUCCAAACUUGGAGGACAUAGGCCUUUCUCUUUCCUUCCUUCUUUUUUUUAAAAUUAAGAUUUUAUUUAUUGAUUCAUGAGAGAUACACAGAGAGGGGCAGAGAAACAGGCAGAGGGAGAAGCAGGCUCCCUGAGGGAAGUCUAAUGUUGGACUCGAUCCCAAGACCCUGGGAUCACAACCUGAGCCAACCAGGCAUCCCACCAGGCUGCUUCCUAAAACUCAGCUGUCUCCCAUGUACCCUCCACUGCUCAGCAUUGCCUAGAUCACAGGGCUGCCUUUUAAAGCUUUUCAUGGUCUGUUCCUUGUCCCUGAUCUAUUACAUAGGAUGGCUCUGCUCUGCAACUCAACCGAUAUCAGCUAGGUAGGUUGAGGCUGAGUACAGAGGGGUAAAGUGGAUCAGGAAGGGGGAGUGGCAUUUGAGGGUGAUGGCAGCAGCCAGUGAGAUGCACAGCCACUGGGGAAAUAAACAUAAAAUGAUGCUAUGGGGGCGGGGACAGUGAAUAAACGGAACCAGUGCCACCACACCUGCGCUGUGUGAAUCAAUCCCAGCCCUCAAGAGCCAGUGAGGCCUCAGAAUGCUUCUCAAGGGAGUGGGGGGGGGGGGGGGCAUGCCCAUGUGCUCAGAAACACAACAUGGAGAGUACAUCUAGUGACCAUCCCUGUCUAGAACAGUGAGUGAAGCAUCUGAGCUUCUCUGAACAGUAGACCCUGCCUUAACUAGUACCCAGUGAAGAUGUGGCAGGCAAAAUAGUAGACUGAGAGGGUCAGGGGUGGGAAUCAGCUACCCUACCAAUGCCAGCCUCUCUGGGGAGGCCCCAUGGCCAUGUGACUGGGUUCCAGCCAAUGCAAUGAGGAGGAGCUAAGCGCUAUUUAGGGGCCUGGCCUAUAAAGGUCUCUGGUACCUAGGCCUGUGUGACUCUCUCCAUCCUAGCACCCUGGGUGGCAGGCGUGGAGGUGGUGGAGCCUUAGGAGGGAAAGACCCUGGAUGCCAGCCACAGCUCAGAGGAGGGAGGGUUGCCUGCUAGGCAAGUAAGACCAAUUUUGAACUUUUCAUGAAUAAGAAGAAUAUUUCCAUCAAAUUUGAGCUGUUUGUAUUUUUAGGCUUAUUUGUUAUAGCAGUUAGUAUUAACUUACCAAAUAGAGGGAGUGAGGGUAGGAUUCCAGGAGCCCACAUCCGAGAGACUUAAGGGUAAAAAGAAAGUGCAGCAAGGUCUAGGUUAUAGGAGAAAAGUCCUUCCUGAUCCAUGCAUCCUGGAAGAAGGGGAGGAGUGGGAAUGUUAGGGCAGGAACGGAGUAGGGGUUAGGCCAGCUCAGGGCAGGGCAGGGGAGCAAGCAGGAAGAAGACAGAGAGAGCAAGCACACCUGGGUAAGCCAAGAUACAGGUUGUGAGAGGGACAGAGCAGCCCUUCCACUAACUCCUCUGAUCUCCUUUGCCUCUGCAACCUCUCCAUUUGUCCCCCUUGUUUGGCUCCUGCAUUUCCUCCCAUUUUCUGCUAGAGGAAGGUCUUGCCUCUUCUGUGAGAGCCAGAGAAGACCUUCAAGAAAUGCCAGCUCCUAGAAAGCAAAUAAUAUACUGGAUUCAAAUGUUAGCUGAUUCAAAUAUUUGCACCAACUAAUGUUAAGCACAUUAAUCACCCUUGGGGUUGCUCCUCAGGGGACAGGCAGGAGGGGAUUUGUGAUCUAGGGACAGGAGUUUUAGCUGAGGGUCCAGAGCAUUUCAAGGGGGAGAAGACUUUUAGUUAAAAGCCUAGUGCUGAUCCGAAAGGAAAUUGAGCCAAGUGAACUACGAAGUAAUUUCUGACCUUGGGAAAAUAGAAGGCAAACCAGCCCCCAGGAUUACAGAGAACACUGAACUGAUUAUUGCAAUGCCUGCAGGGUCUGUUUACUCAAUAAGAUGGUAUUUAAAGGUUCAGGGUUUACCAAGCUGUGGCCUCCAAGGGAGCCCGGAAGGUUUCUAGAAGGACUUGGGGGCCUUCAUGGUAUGUUCUGUGAUUACCUCCCUUGGCUCAGACUGUCCCUAGGGCAUAGCAGGGGAAGCCUUGACUUCCUCAGGGCCUUAACCUGACAGAGAACUUCCCAGGAUUUAGGCCUGGAACUCUCUCAAAAAUAAGCAAACAGCAUGUUUUCUUCACCAAUGUGCUCUGACCUUAGGAGAAAUAGCUAAGGCAGGAAGACAUAGAAGAAUCCAGAACAAUUUCUUUGAAGGGAGUUCUUGUAAUAUAAUGGCAGAUCUAGACAUAGCUGGGAACUGUCAGUAGCUGCAUAAUGAGACAGAGGAGGAAGCAUGAACUCCAGAGUCUGAGUUCUGAAGAUGUCUUUAUUUCACCCUCUAUUAGGAAUAAUAACAUUUCUGUUUAUGCAAUUGCCAGAUGAGAGGUUUCUUUUCCCCUCAAUAUGAUUCCACAACUUCUGGUUUCCAUCACUGCUGUUGGGAAGUCUGCGGUUGUCUACAUUUCAUGCCUUUGCUGGUGAUUUUGCUUUACUCUUUCACUGAUGGCAAGAUCCUCUCCUUGACUUUAUUAUUCUUCACAUUCCUCGAGAUGUGUCUAGGUGUGAAUUUCUGUGUGUUCAUUCCUCAUGGUAUAUGUUGUAUUCCUCUCUAGAUUCAUGUCUUUCCUCAGUUCUGGAAAAUUCUCUUCAAAUAUUAUCUCUCCUCCAUUCACUCUCUUGUCUCCUGGGAUUCUCAUUAGAUGUUUAUUCAGUUUUUUUAUUCUAUCCUCCAUUCUUGCUUAAUGCUUUUCAUAUGUUCUCUCUCUUUGCCUUAUUUUAUACUUUGCUUAUUCUCUCCUGAGCUAUGACUCAUCUUCUGUCUAAGCUUCUUAUGGUGUUUCACCAAGGGGUGCCUGGCUGGCUCCAGUCAGUAGAGUGUAUGACUUUUUAUCUUGGGGAUGUGGGUUCGAGCCCCAUGUUGAGAGGAGAGAUUAUUAAAAAUAAAAACUUUCCCCCCAAAAUAUGAUAUUUUAUCUGUGAAAUGUCUUUUUGGUUCUUUCCUCAAACAUGCCUGGUCACUUCUGGUGAUAUGUAGUUCCCUGCUCAUAUUUGUCACCUUGUUUCAAAUUUCUUUAAACAUGGGAUCCCUGGGUGGCGCAGCGGUUUGGCGCCUGCCUUUGGCCCAGGGCGCGAUCCUGGAGACCCGGGAUCGAAUCCCACGUCGG